rnacentral:rRNA from 1 species
GAUGAACGCUGGCGGCGUGCUUAACACAUGCAAGUCGAACGAGAAGUGGAGACGGAAACCUUCGGGCGGAAGACUUUAUUUCGAGUGGCGGACGGGUGAGUAACGCGUGGGUAACCUGCCUCAUACAGGGGGAUAACAGUUGGAAACGACUGUUAAUACCGCAUAAGACCACAGCACCGCAUGGUGCGGGGGUAAAAACUCCGGUGGUAUGAGAUGGACCCGCGUUCGAUUAGCCAGUUGGCGGGGUAACGGCCCACCAAAGCGACGAUCGAUAGCCGAUCUGAGAGGAUGACCGGCCUCAUUGGGACUGAGACACGGCCCAAACUCCUACGGGAGGCAGCAGUGGGGAAUAUUGCACAAUGGGGGAAACCCUGAUGCAGCGACGCCGCGUGAGUGAAGAAGUAUUUCGGUAUGUAAAGCUCUAUCAGCAGGGAAGAAAAUGACGGUACCUGAGGAAGAAGCCCCGGCUAACUACGUG